rnacentral:rRNA from 1 species
AUCAUGGCUCAGGACGACGCUGGCGGCGCGCCUAACACAUGCAAGUCGAACGAGCGAGAGAGAGCUUGCUUUCUCGAAACGAGUGGCGAACGGGUGAGUACGCGUGAGGAACCUGCCUCAAAGAGGGGGACAACAGUUGGAAACGACUGCUAAUACCGCAUAAGCCCACGGCUCGGCAUCGAGCAGAGGGAAAAGGAGUAAUCCGCUUUGAGAUGGCCUCGCGUCCGAUUAGCUAGUUGGUGAGGUAACGGCCCACCAAGGCGACGAUCGGUAGCCGGACUGAGAGGUUGAACGGCCACAUUGGGACUGAGACACGGCCCAGACUCCUACGGGAGGCAGCAGUGGGGAAUAUUGCACAAUGGGGGAAACCCUGAUGCAGCGACGCCGCGUGGAGGAAGAAGGUCUUCGGAUUGUAAACUCCUGUUGUUGGGGAAGAUAAUGACGGUACCCAACAAGGAAGUGACGGCUAACUACGUGCCAGCAGCCGCGGUAAAACGUAGGUCACAAGCGUUGUCCGGAAUUACUGGGUGUAAAGGGAGCGCAGGCGGGAAGACAAGUUGGAAGUGAAAUCUAUGGGCUCAACCCAUAAACUGCUUUCAAAACUGUUUUUCUUGAGUAGUGCAGAGGUAGGCGGAAUUCCCGGUGUAGCGGUGGAAUGCGUAGAUAUCGGGAGGAACACCAGUGGCGAAGGCGGCCUACUGGGCACCAACUGACGCUGAGGCUCGAAAGUGUGGGUAGCAAACAGGAUUAGAUACCCUGGUAGUCCACACCGUAAACGAUGAUUACUAGGUGUUGGAGGAUUGACCCCUUCAGUGCCGCAGUUCACACACAUAAGUAAUCCACCUGGGGAGUACGACCGCAAGGUUGAAACUCAAAGGAAUUGACGGGGGCCCGCACAAGCAGUGGAGUAUGUGGUUUAAUUCGACGCAACGCGAAGAACCUUACCAAGUCUUGACAUCCCUUGACGAUGCUGGAAACAGUAUUUCUCUUCGGAGCAAGGAGACAGGUGGUGCAUGGUUGUCGUCAGCUCGUGUCGUGAGAUGUUGGGUUAAGUCCCGCAACGAGCGCAACCCUUAUGGUCAGUUACUACGCAAGAGGACUCUGGCCAGACUGCCGUUGACAAAACGGAGGAAGGUGGGGAUGACGUCAAAUCAUCAUGCCCUUUAUGACUUGGGCUACACACGUACUACAAUGGCGUUAAACAAAGAGAAGCAAGACCGCGAGGUGGAGCAAAACUCAGAAACAACGUCCCAGUUCGGACUGCAGGCUGCAACUCGCCUGCACGAAGUCGGAAUGCUAGUAAUCGUGGAUCAGCAUGCCACGGUGAAUACGUCCCGGGCCUUGUACACACCGCCCGUCACACCAUGAGAGCCGGGGGGACCCGAAGUCGGUAG